rnacentral:hammerhead_ribozyme from 1 species
AUACAGCUGACGAGUUCAAACUAGGACGAAACUCUCGUCCUGGAU